AAUCACUCAGCUGACGGGCAGGCUCCUUAUCGUGGACGCAGGAGAGGGACCACCAGAAAGGCCCCACCAAAAAGCACAUCUAGGCUGAGAACGUCCGAACAGAAGAGCUACGUUGUCCAUUGCACCUCCAAGUGAUGGGCAUUUGCAGACCUCAGCCUGGGGCCGCUGAGGGCUCGGGUCCACGUCAGAAAGAGAGCAACAUGCAUGCAGUGAACCUCAAAAGAGAAAAAUCUCUGUGAGCCUGAGGUUUUCCUCUGCUACUCCUCAGCCUCUCGUGCUUUCUGUUCGUUCAUCUCUCUCCUCUCUUGUAGCUGAGACAGGCUGUCUAGACAUUGCAGAUGUGGACAGAUGUUGGGUCUGUAAUUUAUAACAACGGCCUCCAGAAGGCAAUUCCAAUUUGUUUCGGUCGUAACUCUCAGCAUUGGGCUCCUGAACUGUGCCUGCUGCUUGCUGCCCAGCCUGCCAUCAUGGUGGACUCUUAAUCCUCUGGAACUACAGACUCAAUGAAACUCUUUUUUUCUCUAAGUUGCCUUGGUCAUGGUGUUUUAUCACAGCAACAGAAAAGUAACUAAGACAGAUAGGGAGCUGGCCAAGUGUGAGUAAUCACAAGGUUUUCCUAAGGUGUCUGCAGACGGCUGCAGUAGGAGGCAGAGUGAAGACCAGGCUGGUACUGUUGCCAUUGCUAGGGGAAGUCUUUCCUAGUGGCUGCUUCCAGCUCGGCACAUUUAGACCUCAAGGAAAGAGGGACAUGACUGGAAGAUACUUUGUAACCACGAGCAUCCAGGGAAAAAAGCUGCAGAGGGCUGGGGUUAAAGGUGUGCUCCACAACUGCGGGGCUGACUCCUGGAUUUGUAAAACUUGCUCUGAGAAUCUACCUGUUCAAGGUCUUCCUUCUCCGUGCCUGGUGCAUUCAGCCUUCAGACAUGAGUGGAUUUCCAUUUCCAGAGGAUGAAAAAAAAAAUGAACAGAAGCCCUGCUGAACCUGGGGGGCUGAGCAGAUGCCUCAGAGCCCCGGGCCGCAGUUAAGGUGACGAGAUGCAGCAAUUCUUUAUGAACAUUUCAUUCCUGCUCGCUACACGACGUAAAUUAGAUGGUGUGUUACAUUCGGGCAAUAAGAGAGAUAUGUCACCACGACGCUGGCCCAUUGGAUGGAGAGGGGGUUUGGCGAAGAGCUGAAAGGAUUUCACCCUGAUGUGCACACUACUGAGUGACCCUGCUCACCAGCGGCUCCGCUGAUUGCUUUGCACCUUGCAGACUCCGCGACUGGCUCGGCCUCUUGCAGGCCUCGCUCCCUCCGGGCCUCCAGCCCACCCCGCCCCUGCCUGGCUUUCUCUGGAAGCCAAAGCCGAGAGACCUAACAGAGAUGUCACAAAGGUCAUGAAGGGAUGUGUCUGUGGGGAGAAGCAGGACGGCAGAGCUAAAACCAAAAUAAAGCAAAAAAAAAAAAAAAAA
rnacentral:sRNA from 1 species